rnacentral:lncRNA from 1 species
GGGGAGAGAAGAAGGUUUGAGAAGGAUCAGAGAGCGAGCUUCAUGCUUUGGGGUGGAGAAAAAAGACAGAGAUUGGGUUUUUUUUUCUUCAUAGGGUAUUGAGAAGACUGAGGCAAUCGUUGCUGAAUAGUCGAAGUGUUGUACUGGAAUCGAGAUUUUUAAUGAAGUGGGUGUGAUUGCUCUUGACUGUUUUGUCAAAUCGAGUUACGUCUGUGAUAAAGAAUUAAAAAGGUAUCUAUAGGAUUGAGUAUGCGGAGUGAAUGAAAUUUAUUGAGUUAAUCUAACGAGACAGUCAAUGGAUACAAGAUCGCGAGUAUAAAG